rnacentral:rRNA from 1 species
AUUGAACGCUGGCGGCAGGCCUAACACAUGCAAGUCGAGCGGAGCGGCGGAAGGGUGAGUAAUGCCUAGGAAUCUGCCUGGUAGUGGGGGAUAACGUCCGGAAACGGGGGCUAAUACCGCAUACUAUCAGCUGAGCCUAGGUCGGAUUAGCUGGUUGGUGGGGUAAAGGCCUACCAAGGCGACUAUCAGUCACUGGUCUGAGAGGAUGAUCAGUCACACGGGAACUGAUACACGGUCCAGACUCCUACGGUAGGCAGCAGUGGGGAAUAUUGGACAAUGGGGGCAACCCUGACGCAGCCAUGCCGCGUGAAUGAAGAAGGCCUUCGGGGUGUAAAGUUCUUUCGGUGACGAGGCGUUAAUCACAGAAGAAGCACCGGCUAACUCCGUGCCAGCAGCCGCGGUAAUAC